GAUGAACGCUGGCGGCGUGCCUAAUACAUGCAAGUCGAGCGAACGGACGAGAAGCUUGCUUCUCUGAUGUUAGCGGCGGACGGGUGAGUAACACGUGGAUAACCUACCUAUAAGACUGGGAUAACUUCGGGAAACCGGAGCUAAUACCGGAUAAUAUUUUGAACAGCAUGGUUCAAAAGUAAAAGACGGUCUUGCUGUCACUUAUAGAUGGAUCCGCGCUGCAUUAGCUAGUUGGUAAGGUAACGGCUUACCAAGGCAACGAUGCAUAGCCGACCUGAGAGGGUGAUCGGCCACACUGGAACUGAGACACGGUCCAGACUCCUACGGGAGGCAGCAGUAGGGAAUCUUCCGCAAUGGGCGAAAGCCUGACGGAGCAACGCCGCGUGAGUGAUGAAGGUCUUCGGAUCGUAAAACUCUGUUAUUAGGGAAGAACAUAUGUGUAAGUAACUGUGCACAUCUUGACGGUACCUAAUCAGAAAGCCACGGCUAACUACGUG
rnacentral:rRNA from 1 species